rnacentral:tRNA from 1 species
GGGGGCGGAUCGGGCCUGGUGGCCCGCACGGUCUUCAAAACCGCUGGGAGGCGCCUGAGGCGGCUCCGGUGGGUUCGAUUCCCACACGCUCCCGCCA